rnacentral:rRNA from 1 species
AUACGGAGGGGGCUAGCGUUGUUCGGAAUUACUGGGCGUAAAGCGUACGUAGGCGGACUGAUCAGUUGGGGUUGAAAUCCCAGGGCUUAACCCUGGAACUGCCUUCAAUACUGUCAGUCUUGAGAUUGGAAGAGGUGAGUGGAAUUCCUAGUGUAGAGGUGAAAUUCAUAGAUAUUAGGAGGAACACCAGUGGCGAAGGCGGCUCACUGGUCCAAUACUGACGCUGAGGUACGAAAGCGUGGGGAGCAAACAGGAUUAGAAACCCCAGUAGUCC